GUAGUCCACGCCCUAAACGAUGUCUACUUGCUGUUGGGGGUAAAACCUAAGUAGCGAAGCAAACGCGAGAAGUAGACCGCCUGGGGAGUACGGUCGCAAGAUUAAAACUCAAAGGAAUUGACGGGGACCCGCACAAGCGGUGGAUGAUGUGGAUUAAUUCGAUGCUACGCGAAGAACCUUACCUGCUCUUGACAUGCCAGGAAGGCCUGAGAGAUCGGGCUGUGCCGAAAGGAACCUGGGCACAGGUGCUGCAUGGCUGUCGUCAGCUCGUGUCGUGAGAUGUUGUCUUAAGUGACGCAACGAGCGCAACCCUUACUACUAGUUGCCAUAAUUAAGUUUGGAACUCUAGUGGGACUGCCGGUAUUAAGCCGGA
rnacentral:rRNA from 1 species